GGGAAUGUAGCUCAGUGGUAAAGCACUUGUCUAGCACACAAGAAAUCCUGAGUGUGAUUCCCG
rnacentral:tRNA from 1 species